rnacentral:rRNA from 1 species
GAUGAACGCUGGCGGCGUGCCUAAUACAUGCAAGUCGAGCGAACAGACGAGGAGCUUGCUCCUCUGACGCUAGCGGCGGACGGGUGAGUAACACGUGGAUAACCUACCUAUAAGACUGGGAUAACUUCGGGAAACCGGAGCUAAUACCGGAUAACAUAUUGAACCGCAUGGUUCAAUAGUGAAAGACGGUUUUGCUGUCACUUAUAGAUGGAUCCGCGCCGCAUUAGCUAGUUGGUAAGGUAACGGCUUACCAAGGCAACGAUGCGUAGCCGACCUGAGAGGGUGAUCGGCCACACUGGAACUGAGACACGGUCCAGACUCCUACGGGAGGCAGCAGUAGGGAAUCUUCCGCAAUGGGCGAAAGCCUGACGGAGCAACGCCGCGUGAGUGAUGAAGGUCUUCGGAUCGUAAAACUCUGUUAUUAGGGAAGAACAAAUGUGUAAGUAACUAUGCACGUCUUGACGGUACCUAAUCAGAAAGCCACGGCUAACUACGUG